rnacentral:rRNA from 1 species
GAUGAACGCUGGCGGCGUGCCUAAUACAUGCAAGUCGAGCGAACAGACGAGGAGCUUGCUCCUCUGACGUUAGCGGCGGACGGGUGAGUAACACGUGGAUAACCUACCUAUAAGACUGGGAUAACUUCGGGAAACCGGAGCUAAUACCGGAUAAUAUAUUGAACCGCAUGGUUCAAUAGUGAAAGACGGUUUUGCUGUCACUUAUAGAUGGAUCCGCGCCGCAUUAGCUAGUUGGUAAGGUAACGGCUUACCAAGGCAACGAUGCGUAGCCGACCUGAGAGGGUGAUCGGCCACGCUGGAACUGAGACACGGUCCAGACUCCUACGGGAGGCAGCAGUAGGGAAACUUCCGCAAUGGGCGAAAGCCUGACGGAGCAACGCCGCGUGAGUGAUGAAGGUCUUCGGAUCGUAAAACUCUGUUAGUAGAGAAGAACAAAUGUGUAAGUAACUAUGCACGUCUUGACGGUACCUAAUCAGAGAGCCACGGCUAACUACGUG